GUGCUCGCUUCGGAAGCACAUAUACUAAAAUUGGAGUGAUAGAAGAUUACCAUGGUCCCUGUGCAAAGGUGACACGCACAUUCAUGAAGUGUUCCAUGUUUUU